rnacentral:rRNA from 1 species
UACGUAGGGUGCGAGCGUUAAUCGGAAUUACUGGGCGUAAAGCGUGCGUAGACGGUCAUGUAAGUCGGGUGUGAAAGCCCCGGGCUCAACCUGGGAAUUGCAUUCGAGACUGCAUGGCUAGGAUGCGGAAGAGGGAAGCGGAAUUUCCGGUGUAGCGGUGAAAUGCGUAGAUAUCGGAAGGAACACCAGUGGCGAAAGCGGCUUCCUGGUCCAGCAGUCG